GAUUCGAUGUUGAUAAGGAAGAGUUAUAAAAAUAACAAACUGCUAUCUUAUAUAAUAAAGUAUCAAUAAUCAGAAAGAAAAUACUGGAUUAACUAAUGAAAUAAUUAAAAGUUACUAUAUGUCGUCAAUCAUGUGAACAUGUAAGUGUAUUUCAAAGAUGUUAUUUACCACAGAAUAAUGUUUACACCGCGCCAGCCUCUUUCCUGAUCCUGUUUAAAGUUACAGGAUGUGUUAUCUUCUCUUCCUGCACCUGCUAUUGAUUCUACUCCUCCAGAAGCAAGGAACUGCCAGUCCAGUACAUCACAGGAGGCAUUGCUAUUGGGCAGCAAAAAAAAUUCACCCUUCAGGAAGAUAUUUGACCACAGUCUGCAGAAGAUGUGUGAGUCAGACCUGAUGAACAAGCUGAGGACCAAAUGGCUAUUAGCAGGAACCUCAACAUGUGGCAGGAAGACUAAAAAUCACAGCCAGCCUCUCUGAUGUGGCUGCAGUCUUCAUCCUCUUGAUGGGUGGUGCAGCAUUUAGCUGUCUGCUGCUGCUGCUGCUGCUGCUGCUGCUGCUGGAGUAUGGGGUACAACAUGCAAGACAGAGGUGGUGGAUGAUGAGUUCCUGGGGAUUGCUGACCUCAAUGAAGCACAGACAUAACAAGAGAUGGGAGACCUGCACUGUUAAAGCCUUAAGCAUUCUAAUCACAUUCCAUGUAACUCUCUUCACUCUUAGAUCCCUUAUUGGGUAUUCUUAUGUAUAGUUGCUCGCAAAUAUGGAGUUUAGUUAUAAC